AUGCACUUUACAUAUUGCACGCCGGGACUGAUCCCGUAUGCUGCUCGCACUGUGAGCACCUUGCAAAUCUACUCCGUGAAGAUUGUUGGAACAGAUGGAAAGUUGAAGUUGCCACUCCAUGUUUAUGGGAUUGUCGCUGCCCGAGAUGCCGUGGACUACAACCGCAACAUUCUCUUCUCUUGGCGAAGGGAAAACUGCCAAAAACUCACUCCAGAGGAUCCUUUUUUGCGCUUGACUGGCCUGUCCCGUGCAAUUGUGGCUGUGUACCAUGUUGAUUUUGAAGUCCAACUGAAAGUAAAGGGCUCAUCAAGGUCUCGCGACAGAGCAUUGAUGAGUCAUUGCUUUACUUACGCCGGUGGUUACCAUGAAGGUUUACAUACCACGUUCUCCAGCAACAGCUUUUGCACAGUAGAGUUUAGCUAUGAGCGACUUACAGAAACAGUCCAGGCUACUAUCUUGAGUGCGCGUGUUGUUGAAGGGGCGCCUUGGCCUUUUGAAUAUGGCGGACGGAUUAUGUGCUCCUCGCCACCACAGGAAGUUACGGACUCCCUAUCCAGGCAAGUUGUGUUGGUUGAUUCUCAUCGUUCUGAUGAUGGUGGAGAAAUGCCAAUGGGCUCGGAUGGUUACCUUGAUCUGUCAAGGCAUGUUGUUUCUGUAGAACUUGAAGAAAGCCUGCAGUUUGUCAUACAAGCCUACUCACAGUCUGGUGAUGCUAUUGCUAGACAAGGUAGUGUCAGGUUCAGGACCAAAUACUGCAACAUAAGUCGAGCGAUAUGUGAGAUUGAUGACUCUAAGGUGGAGAUAACUGUCGCUUGGUCCCAACUUGCUAAGCACAAGAGGGAUAUCCUCUUAGAAGGACAUGUUUGA
rnacentral:rRNA from 1 species